GCAACAUGACAACAUUUGUCUUAGCCACUCUGAAUGAGAUUUAUAUGCUGAAUGAUUUCAGGCAAAACAAAAUAUAUCCAAAUUUCUGUUGACUGGUAAAGGUUGAUGAAAUUUGAAACUGCAGUAAGUCGGAUAAUAUUUGAAACUGUAUUUACUUCCCAUUUAAUGAAAUUUCUCUAAAAACAUGUUUUACCCAUUGCAGGUGGUAUGACUGGCAGCAAACCUUUGAAGUUUAUACCAAACACUGAACUAGCUGCAGAAGAUAAACCAGCUGUGGCAGUGGCAUUUAGAUUGACCAUACCUGGCAGGAUGUAGCCUGGGAGCAUAAAGGCCUAGCUGAUAGGACAUUCUGGACAAUGACUCAGAAAAUCGGAGACAAGAUGGCAUUCUUGUUGUUCAGCAAGAACAAAGUGCUGCUGAAGUGCUCCUCACCUGCAGAGUUCAUACUGUCGCUGAUGUGGUCAUACUGUUUAGCGGAGGUGGCAUAUGCAAGCAACCUGAACGGAUCCCUGCUGUUUAACGACAUGAUAUAUGACGACACUAAACCAGACAGUGAAGUCAGACUGGUCAUUUAUGGAUGUUGUGCCUAAGGAAAACAUAGUAAUUAUUAUGGUAGCAUCAGAAAUUUUUGCUAUUUUCCCAGUUGGUGUCUAAAAAAAUAAACAUGUUGUCAUGCAACAGGACUAUAAAAGUUUAGUAUAGAAACAAAAAUGAAAAAAAAAAUUUAUGUGUAAGAAAAUUUGUAUUUAUUCAUUAAUGAUUUUAACUUGCCUUAGAACUUAAAGGCUCGUAAUGCCUUUGUUUAAAUGUGGCUGCCACAUUCCUUUUUUUGAACAUGAGGUAGAUUAUGUUCUUGGUAAAUCCUAUUUCUGCCCCAUGUGGUUCUGGGACGAUCUUUGUACGAAAAGAAUUGGAACCACUGCCUUACCCUUGCAUGAUCAUAAGAGGCGACUAAUAGGGUCUUAACACUUGGUUUUGCUGUAACUCUGUGAUUCCAGUCGGUAUGCAAAUUUUGAUUCCAUACCUCAUGUUUUUAUUUCGAUGUAAGUGACAUGCGGAACCAAAAUUUGUAGUCCUGUUUGGCGCCAUAUAACCUCUACUGUGUUGGUGCGUCGUAAAACCCAAAUAAAUAAAUAAAUCCUAUUUCCAAUAAAUGUUUUCUCAUAUCUUUGUUAUAAGUUUGAAUAUUUUAUUAACAUUGCAAAAGUUAUUACUCGAUUAAUAAUUUUGAUUACUUCCCUGUAUAAGUUCAUGUGUAAUAUUGAAAGUACUAGUAUUUUUCUAACCAUCAAAGUAUGUUUAUUUUUCAUUUGGACAGGUGCUUUAUCUGGUUUUAGCCUUAUGGAACUUUAAACAGAUUUCAUUUAAAAGCAUAAUUAUUAGACUAACCAGAACUUAAAUACAGGAUGAGUGGAAAUUAAAGGCAACUGGCUUUGCAGGAAGUCUUUCUUUCAAGCCCUGGUACAUUUGUGUGUGUGUCUGGAUGUGUAUGUGAUAUUUCAACAAAACCUGGUAGAAAUGUUAAUUUUUAUUCAGAAGAAUAAAUAUACAAACACG